GCUUCCAUAGCUCAAUGGAUAGAGCAACACUCUUCUAAAGUGAAGGUUCCAGGUUCAAAUCCUGGUGGAGGCG
rnacentral:tRNA from 1 species